GGAAACAGCUUGCUGUUUCGCUGACGAGUGGCGGACGGGUGAGUAAUGUCUGGGAAACUGCCUGAUGGAGUGGGGAUAACUACUGGAAACGGUAGCUAAUACCGCAUAACGUCGCAAGACCAAAGAGGGGGACCCUCGGAGCCUCUUGCCAUCGGAUGUGCCCAGAUGGGAUUAGCUUGUUGGUGGGGUAGCGGCUCACCAAGGCGACGGAUCCCUAGCUGGUCUGAGAGGAUGACCAGCCACACUGGAAACUGAGACACGGUCCAGACUCCUACGGGAGGCAGCAGUGGGGAAUAUUGCACAAUGGGCGCAAGCCUGCAUGCAGCCAUGCCGCGUGUAUGAAGAAGGCCUUCGGGUUGUAAAGUACUUUCAGCGGGGAGGAAGGGAGUAAACGUUAAUACCUUUGCUCAUUGACGUUACCCGCAGAAGAAGCACCGGCUAACUCCGUGCCAGCAGCCGCGGUAAUACGGAGGGUGCAAGCGUUAAUCGGAAUUACUGGGCGUAAAGCGCACGCAGGCGGUUUGUUAAGUCAGAUGUGAAAUCCCCGGGCUCAACCUGGGAACUGCAUCUGAUACUGGCAAGCUUGAGUCUCGUAGAGGGGGGUAGAAUUCCAGGUGUAGCG
rnacentral:rRNA from 1 species